GAAGGAAUAAUUAAAAGGCGAAAAAGAAAAAACCCAGCGGGCUCAUAACCCGAAGGUCGUAGGUUCAAAUCCUGCUCCCGCAACCA
rnacentral:tRNA from 1 species